rnacentral:rRNA from 1 species
GUAGUCAUAUGCUUGUCUCAAAGAUUAAGCCAUGCAUGUCUAAGUAUAAGCAAUUAUACCGUGAAACCGCGAAUGGCUCAUUAAAUCAGUUAUCGUUUAUUUGAUAGUACCUUACUACUUGGAUAACCGUGGUAAUUCUAGAGCUAAUACAUGCUGAAAACCCCAACUUCGGAAGGGGUGUAUUUAUUAGAUAAAAAACCAAUGCCCUUCGGGGCUCCUUGGUGAUUCAUAAUAACUUCUCAGAUCGCAUGGCCUUGCGCCGGCGACGGUUCAUUCAAAUUUCUGCCCUAUCAACUUUCGAUGGUAAGGUAUUGGCUUACCAUGGUUUCAACGGGUAACGGGGAAUUAGGGUUCGAUUCCGGAGAGGGAGCCUGAGAAACGGCUACCACAUCCAAGGAAGGCAGCAGGCGCGCAAAUUACCUAAUCCCGACACGGGGAGGUAGUGACAAUAAAUACUGAUACAGGGCUCUUUUGGGUCUUGUAAUUGGAAUGAGUACAAUUUAAACCUCUUAACGAGGAACAAUUGGAGGGCAAGUCUGGUGCCAGAGCC